UGUGAGCCAUCCCCACCUGGGAGGCACAGCCUUCCAUCUCUCGGGAGCUACGUUUCAGUGAGUUCGCCUCCCACUGAGUUCAGCUUUCAGUCAAGCAGCUCAACAGCUCAAGUUUAAAAAGGGGGUUUACAACAAAGAUCCACAGUUUCUCUGAGGACAAAAGGGACAAGAACUUGUAUACAGCUCACCUCAAGCACCUUCAAUUUUUCAAACAAUUACAAAUUUGAUGAAGACAUUCAAAAUGAAGGGCACAGACCAAUGAGUGAGCCAGUUAAAGUCUGCUCUGAGUGCUAUGUGAGCUCAACUGAGCAAUGACCGUCCUUCUGCAGAGAGACAUCAUGAGUCCUUGUCCCAGCUGUGGAGUCUUCAGUGAUACACGGAAUUUAUUCAGGUUUUAACAAAGGUUCUGCAGCAUUUGUGCAUUCUCACUUCUCUCAUGGAAAACCUGGGUUUGGUGGGCUGGACAGAGAGCAGGAGGAGAACCUGGAAGC